rnacentral:rRNA from 1 species
GACGAACGCUGGCGGCGUGCUUAACACAUGCAAGUCGAACGGAAAGGCCCUGCUUUUGUGGGGUGCUCGAGUGGCGAACGGGUGAGUAACACGUGAGUAACCUGCCCUUGACUUUGGGAUAACUUCAGGAAACUGGGGCUAAUACCGGAUAGGAGCUCCUGCUGCAUGGUGGGGGUUGGAAAGUUUCGGCGGUUGGGGAUGGACUCGCGGCUUAUCAGCUUGUUGGUGGGGUAGUGGCUUACCAAGGCUUUGACGGGUAGCCGGCCUGAGAGGGUGACCGGCCACGUGGGGAGGGGGGUACGGCCGGGCCUCGUAGGGGAGGCAGGGGGGGGAAAUGGUGCACAGGGGGGGGGGGCCGGGUGCGGCAACGCCGGGGGCGGGAUGAGGGCCUGCGGGUGAGAAACCGUUUUCUCCGGGAAGGGGGGGUGAGGGACGGUAAUGGGUAAAGAAGCCCGGGAUAACUCCGUG